AUUCACCCCCACCUUGUCUGCCCUACUCUGUGCCACAGGAGGCUGACCUGAAUGACAACAUAAACCAGGCUCCUUUGCUCUCUGUCCUCAGUUGUAUUUGAGCCACAGAAUCUUAGUGCUUCAGAAUUCUGUGGAUACUCUUCACUCCAAAACCUGAGCCUAACCUGAUAUAACCUAGAUUUUGGACAAUGCAGCAAGAAUAAAUGAGUCCUCUUGAGGCCUGUCAGCUAUAUGACCUUGGGAGAGUGUGUGGAUUAUUUCUGGCUGAGAGUGGAAGGAGAAAUCGCAUGGGAAAGGAAAUCCUCACACGAAUGUCAGCUGAAUUUUGGAUGAGGAUACAGUCCAGAUGCCAUAAAAUUAUUAGCAGAAGCUGA
rnacentral:lncRNA from 13 species